rnacentral:rRNA from 1 species
UACGAAGGGGGCUAGCGUUGUUCGGAAUCACUGGGCGUAAAGCGUACGUAGGCGGACGAAUAGGUCAGGGGUGAAAGCCUGGAGCUCAACUCCAGAACUGCCUUUGAUACUGUUCGUCUUGAGUCCGGGAGAGGUGAGUGGAACUGCUAGUGUAGAGGUGAAAUUCGUAGAUAUUAGCAAGAACACCAGUGGCGAAGGCGGCUCACUGGCCCGGUACUGACGCUGAGGUACGAAAGCGUGGGGAGCAAACAGG